UACGGAGGGAGCUAGCGUCGUUCGGAAUUACUGGGCGUAAAGCGCGCGUAGGCGGCUUUGUAAGUUAGAGGUGAAAGCCCGGGGCUCAACUCCGGAACUGCCUUUAAGACUGCAUCGCUUGAAUCCGGGAGAGGUGAGUGGAAUUCCGAGUGUAGAGGUGAAAUUCGUAGAUAUUCGGAAGAACACCAGUGGCGAAGGCGGCUCACUGGACCGGUACUGACGCUGAGGUGCGAAAGCGUGGGGAGCAAACAGG
rnacentral:rRNA from 1 species